UGGGCAACCUGCCCCUCUCUCUGGGAUAACCCCGGGAAACCGGAGCUAAUACCGGAUACUCCGGCUGGAUCGCAUGGUCCGGCCGGGAAAGGUCCGCCGGAGAGGGAUGGGCCCGCGGCCUAUCAGCUUGUUGGUGGGGUCAUGGCUCACCAAGGCGACGACAGGUAGCUGGUCUGAGAGGACGACCAGCCACACUGGAACUGAGAUACGGUCCAGACUCCGUACGGGAGGCA
rnacentral:rRNA from 1 species